CUCCGGGCUCCAGGUUCCUUGAGGGCUGGACAGAUUCUGGACUAGAUUUAGGUGGGUAAUUUUCCUUUUUUUUUUUUUAAGGAUUAAAAAAAAACACAACUCCUUCCACUUUUCUCUAUAAGGCAUUUCCUCCCUCCUCCCCCACAAUAACUGGGAUAGAACAGGCAGCAGGAGACAGAGGAAAAGAUGAUGCUGAGGGCGAAAUCUCAUCACAUUUGGGGACUGGAAAGCACUAGAGAGAUGCUCUUAGUUCUACCUAAGAGCAGGGAUGCAGAAGCACUCAGCCUGGGACGGGAUGCUGCUUUGCCACGGAGCAUCUGUGUGGCUUUGCACUGCCAUCCUCUCCUGCAGGAUUCUCAUCAAAAAGCACGGCCAGAACAAAGAAACAGAAACUGUGUCACCUACCGUCAAAUUUCUUGUGCCUGGACACGAAAGUGGUCCCUGGCAGAGAGAAAAUUAAAGGGGUGGAAAAACAGAGAUAGACAAGCAUGGAGAAAGAAAAAUGGUUGGUCACCAAAAUAUUGAAGAGUCGUGCUGUAGGAAGAGUAAGUCUGUUUUGCAACGUGCUUGGUAGAGUUCCUAUGAAGAGACCACGAUGAUGUCCCCAAGAACACAAGACCAGGGCCCAUGAAACAUGUGGUCAAUUGAGGUCGAGCCUUGUUUCCUUCCUAACAUAUCACUAGAUAAGAAGGUUGUGGAAGAAAUAAACUCUUAAACAUGUCCUCUCUCUCCCUAAUCUGAGGCCACUGAUAACUUCCAAAGCGACCUGAUGACUUUGAAUGGCCACGAAGACUUCGGACAGUCAGACAAUUUUGUUUGCAGCGGGUUUAUUUCUUUAUUUGAGUGUUGGCCCUAGAACCAGGGUUUGCAAACCAUGGCCUCUCGGUCAAAUCCAGCCGACCGUCUGUUUCUGUAUGACCUGUGAGAAAAAUGGUUUAAAAAAAAUCAAAAGAAUGAUGUUCUAUGCUAUAUGAAGUGUUAUGGAAUUCUAAUUGAAUUGUCCAUAAAUAAAGUUUUACUGGAAAACAGUCCCACCC
rnacentral:lncRNA from 1 species